rnacentral:rRNA from 1 species
GAUGAACGCUGGCGGCGUGCCUAAUACAUGCAAGUCGAGCGAACAGAUGAGGAGCUUGCUCCUCUGACGUUAGCGGCGGACGGGUGAGUAACACGUGGAUAACCUACCUAUAAGACUGGGAUAACUUCGGGAAACCGGAGCUAAUACCGGACAAUAUAUUGAACCGCAUGGUUCAAUAGUGAAAGACGGUUUUGCUGUCACUUAUAGAUGGAUCCGCGCCGCAUUAGCUAGUUGGUAAGGUAACGGCUUACCAAGGCAACGAUGCGUAGCCGACCUGAGAGGGUGAUCGGCCACACUGGAACUGAGACACGGUCCAGACUCCUACGGGAGGCAGCAGUAGGGAAUCUUCCGCAAAGGGCGAAAGCCUGACGGAGCAACGCCGCGUGAGUGAUGAAGGUCUUCGGAUCGUAAAACUCUGUUAUUAGGGAAGAACAAAUGUGUAAGUAACUAUGCACGUCUUGACGGUACCUAAUCAGAAAGCCACGGCUAACUACGUG